GAAUAGGUGGCCGAUUAGGCAGUGGCCUGUAAACCCACUCAUGGGUUUUUGCCCCCGUUCG
rnacentral:tRNA from 1 species